rnacentral:tRNA from 1 species
GCGGGUGAAGUGUUACGGCAGCACCCCUGGCUUCCACCCAGGUCGCGCGGGUUCGACUCCCGCCGCCCGCACCA